GCAAACUUGGUCAUUUAGAGGAAGUAAAAGUCGUAACAAGGUUUCCGUAGGUGAACCUGCGGAAGGAUCAUUACUGAGUAACGUGGUCUUUUAGACCCGCUACCCGCCCUUUGUCAUAUGUUGGACGAGGUCGCCUUUAGGGGCGGCCUCCGACCCCACUUCCCGGGAAGCGUUGCGCCCCGUCAGGUCUAGGCCUUGACGGGGAUGGGACCGCCCGGGGUCUUUUUCAAACCCUUUGUGAGAAAUCUGAAGUCUGAAGCGAAAGCUUAAAACAAAUUGAAGCAAAACUUUCAACAACGGAUCUCUUGGCUCUGGCAUCGAUGAAGAACGCAGC
rnacentral:misc_RNA from 1 species